rnacentral:rRNA from 1 species
UACGUAGGGGGCAAGCGUUGUUCGGAAUUACUGGGCGUAAAGGGCGCGUAGGCGGCAUGGCAAGUCAGGAGUGAAAGGCCUGGGCUCAACCGAGGAACUGCUUUUGAUACUGCCAAGCUAGAGUGCGGAAGGGGCAACUGGAAUUCCCAGUGUAGCGGUGAAAUGCGUAGAUAUUGGGAAGAACACCUGAGGCGAAGGCGGGUUGCUGGGCCGACACUGACGCUGAGGAGCGAAAGCGUGGGGAGCAAACAGG